rnacentral:sRNA from 1 species
AAUUAAUCCACACAUGCACCGACACGUAUACUAGGGUGCCCGCAAGGGUUGGUAUAUGGGGUACAUGGAGGCUCAAC